rnacentral:lncRNA from 1 species
ACACUUCUAAUACACAGAAAGAAAUUGAAAGGGAGAAAAAGUUUGUUAUUAAACAAUAUCCCUGUAUCAUUCCGACAUGCAAGAAAUCGAACGCGGGUUUUGGUGGGUGUGGCCCCAGUAAACGGCGUUGAAACAAGAAUUGUCUAAGGUGGCGAUUGGUUUUCCCGCUACCACCCGCAAACGCAGCUUUUGCGGUCGGUAGCGGUUGUCGGCGGUUUGCAACAAUCACUCAAAUCGCCUUAAACCGCUUCAAACCGCUCCGAAUCUCAUAAAUUCAAAAGCUGGCUCCAGCUAGCGUUUGCGGUUGCGGGCGGUUGCGGGAGGGUAAAAUUUUUUUCUUUUUUUUUAAAACAAUAUAUAUACAAAGAAAAAAUAUUUAAUAAAAAAUUUAAAAUUGAAAUUAUGAAAAUAUUAAAAUAUAUCUAUUUUAUUUUAAUUAAUAUUAUAAAAUUUUAUAAUAAAAACAAUUUCAAUAAAUUUUCAAAAAUUAAAAUUAUAACUUUCUAAAUAUAAAUUUUAUAUUUAUUAUAAUUUUAUGAUUUUUGAUAUUUUUAUAAUUAUAUUAAAUGUAAAUAUUGUUAAUUUAUUAUUUGACUGUUACCGCAUUUGGUAGUUAACCAGUCAUAAGUCACCCGCAAACGCACCAAUUUUUAACCGCAGUACCAGUCGUACAAAUCUCUUAAAACCGCUAGAAACCGCAACCGCCCGCAUCCACAAACUCCCGCAACCGCAACCGCAACCGCUGCGUUUGAACCAGUCAGGCCCUAAGUCCCGUGGGUAGUGCUCGUUGACACGCUACUACUCAAGACAAAACAAGCGGCAUUCUCCUUCUAGAAGUCUAGAACAAGUAACAACCACCACUAGCCUUGGGCAAAAAAACCAAAAUCGAAAUAUCGAACCGGAACCGAAAUGAAUUAUUCGAAACCGAUACCCUCAAAUAUCCAAAUGGUUCCUAUAUUUCUAUAUCCGAAUAACCGAACUGGAACCAAAACCAAACCGAGAACCGAAUAUCUAGAUACCCGAAUAUCCGAAAAAAUAAGUUUCAACUUUUAAAUAUAAUGUAAAUGUCAUAAACUCCACUCGAAUCCGGAUUGGACAGAAAUAGUGAGAACAACCGAAACAAAUUAUCCGAAACUGAAACCAGAUCGUACCCCUCAAAUACCAGAAUGGUUCUUAUAUUUAUAUAUCAUGAUAACUGAACCAGAACCGAACUGAGAACCAAAUGGGUACCCGAAUAUCCGAAAAAACAAGUUUCAACUUUCAAAUAUAAGGUAAAAUGUCAUAAACACCACUCGAACCCGGGUUGGACAGGAAGAGUGAGAACAUUAUUACCACAAACCAUGUUAUCUAUUAUGUACUAUUUUAUGUAGUUAUAUAUAUAUAUAUAUGAUAUUUACAUAUUAAAAUACAGUAAAUACUUAUAAAACUAGCACUUUAUUGACUCGAACUCUGGUUGGAUUGGCGAAUUUCUAAGUGUGUAACCACUAGACCAAUUAGAUUAACACGUUAACUAAUAUAUUUUGUAGACAAAUAUUUGAUUCAUUUAUCAAAAAGGUACCCGAAACCAAACCAGAACAAAACCGAAAUCUCAUAAAUACUUAUUGGGUAUAAAAAUAAUUUAUCCGAUUAUACGGAACCGAAUGAUUUCUAUCCAAAACUGAAAAGAAUAUCUGUAUGCCCAUCGCUAACCACCGCUCAGCCGAUUUCGGGAGUGAUUAGUGGAAUCAAAGUGAUUCUCUCUUGCCGGUUUAUGAAGUUCUUGUUACUUGGUUCUGGAGGUGUUUCCUCGUUGUGCUAGGAGGAAGUGGUUUAUCGGUGGUAUGGCCGAGGGCAUUCCCGUUAAGUAGUUUCAUGGAUUCUCUAGAAGUCAGACAUGUCUGUAAGUGUAGUUUAUCAUUGGUUGUUUGGAAGUUAGUUGCUUAGUUUAAAGUUGUUGUUGUAAGCGUCCUGGUCUGUAUUCUUUUGGGCUAAUGCUUCCUCUUUGUGGGAUCUUGUUUCCACGGAUAGUUUGUUGUCCGGCGGCCUAGUUAACCACAUAUAGUAACUUCAUCCGUUGGUGUUGUAUCCCACUUUGAUAAUAUAAACUCAGUUUUGGCAAAAAAGUAAUAAUAUAACUUUCUAUUGUAAAUAUAAUGUUUAUGACAAAUAUUUUUGCAAAUUAAACAUGAAGACCAAACGCAAAAUGCAUAAAAAAAAUGGGUAAAAUAAUCCAGACUGUCAUGCUGUAAUUUCCAGUAAGUGUGUCGAGAGCAGGGGCGGAUCUAGAAAAUGAUACAAUAUGGGGCACAAUAUAUAAUAUAUUUUAAUAAACUAAAAUAAAUAAUAUAUAUUUUUAAAUUAUAUUAAUUUUUGAACAUUUAUAUUAAUUUUUUAAAAAAUUAUAUAUUAAUUUAGUGAAUCAAAUAAAUAAUAUAUUGCACAUAAUAAAUCAGCAUAAAGUUUAGUUUUUUAAAUAUUAGUCUAAUUUCUAAAAGAAACUUAAAAUAGUUGUUUAAGUAAAUGUUAAAUAAAUUGUAUAUAACAAACUAUAUUCAAUAAAAGAAAAUAAAAACAAUUAUAGAAAAAAAUAAUAGUUUAGGUAACACAGAAACAUAGGUAAAAAAAAUUUUUUGUGACAAAGUGAUUAAAAGUGUUUAAAAUUUGAAAGAAUAAAAAGAAAGUUAAAAGAGAAAAAUAGUUUAGGUAACACAAAAAUAAAGGUAAAAGGAAAAAAAAUUGUGACAAAGUGAUUAAUUUUUUUUAGCCUAAUUGUUAAAAACAAACUGAAUAAAAAUAAUUGGUUGAGCAAAUUUAAAUAAAUUAUAUAUAUGAAGAAAUUAAUACAAAAUAAAAGAAAAGAAAAACAGUUAUAAGAAGAAAUAAUAGUUUAGGUAACACACAAACAAAGGUAAAAAUGGAAAAUAUUUUCAUAAUGUAUGUAGUUACACAAAGAGUUUAUAUUGUUGAGUAUGUGGCACGUGCCACACCCAUUAUGUGCGUGGAUCCGCCCCUGGUCGAGAGGAGUCAUUGACAAAAAAAAAGAGUAUCCAAAAUCAAAAUCAAAUUUAUCUUUUACUGGUUAAAGAUAUGAUUAUGAGUAGAAAAUAAUGUUGAAGUAACUCCAUAAUUACAUGUUUACAAUACUAAAUCUGCAACUAUAUAUGCUUCUAUUAUCUUAAACUUAAUUUGACAAUAAUCUAAGUUCCAUAAAAAUAAACAAAAAUAAGCAGGAAACAAAAAAAGAAACGAAAGAAUACAGCUCAUAUAGAUUUUAAAAUUUAAUAUCUAUCUGCAGUUUCUUGUCUUAUUUUUCUACUUAGCUGACCCCCAACUUAUAUAAUUGAGAUUAGAAGUUCUCUUUGUGGAAGUCAAACUUGGUAGUUGUCUU